AACGAACGCUGGCGGCAGGCUUAACACAUGCAAGUCGAACGCCCGGGCAACCGGGAGUGGCAGACGGGUGAGUAACGCGUGGGAACGUGCCCUUUGGUUCGGAAUAACUCAGGGAAACUUGAGCUAAUACCGGAUACGCCCCGAGAGGGGGAAAGAUUUAUCGCCGAAGGAUCGGCCCGCGUCCGAUUAGCUAGUUGGUGAGGUAAUGGCUCACCAAGGCGACGAUCGGUAGCUGGUCUGAGAGGAUGAUCAGCCACACUGGGACUGAGACACGGCCCAGACUCCUACGGGAGGCAGCAGUGGGGAAUAUUGGACAAUGGGGGCAACCCUGAUCCAGCCAUGCCGCGUGAGUGAUGAAGGCCUUAGGGUUGUAAAGCUCUUUCGGCGGGGACGAUAAUGACGGUACCCGCAGAAGAAGCCCCGGCUAACUUCGUGCCAGCCGCCGCCGUAAGAC
rnacentral:rRNA from 1 species